rnacentral:rRNA from 1 species
ACGCGAAGACCUUACCUGGGCUCGAACGGCUUUGGAACAUCCUUGGAAACGGGACUUCCCGCGGGGACCGGAGUCUAGGUGCUGCAUGGCUGUCGUCAGCUCGUGUCGUGAGAUGUUGGGUUAAGUCCCGCAACGAGCGCAACCCUUGUCCUGUGUUGGCAUGCCGCAAGGCGCAACUCGCAGGAGACCGCCAGCGAUAAGCUGGAGGAAGGUGGGGAUGACUUCAAUUCAUCGUGGCCUUUAUGUCCAGGGCCACACACGUGCUACAAUGGGCGGUACAAAGCGCUGCCAACCCGCAAGGGGGAGCUAAUCACCAAAAACCUUCCUCAGUUCAGAUCGCACGCUGCAACUCCCCCGCGUGAAGCUAGAAUCUCUAUUAAUGCUAUAUCACAAAUAAACCCUGAAUACGUUCCCGGGUCUGGGACACACAU